rnacentral:tRNA from 7 species
GCCGAAAUAGCUCAAUUGGUAGAGCAACUGAUUUGUAAUCAGUAGGUUACGGGUUCAAGUCCUGUUUUCGGCACCA